rnacentral:rRNA from 1 species
AAACUGAAGAGUUUGAUCCUGGCUCAGAUCGAACGCUGGCGGCGUGGCUAAGGCAUGCAAGUCGAACGGACUCCCGGAUGGGUAACCUGAAGGGAAGUCAGUGGCGAACGGGUGAGUAAUAGAAGGAUAACGUACCCUGGACUCGGGGAUAGCGGCGGGGCUUCGGCUCCUUUGCGAAAGUGCCGGUAAUACCCGAUGAACCCUCGGAACCGCAUGGUUCUGCGGGCAAAGUUCCGGCGGUCCGGGAUCGGUCCUUCUCCUAUCAGCUAGUUGGUGGGGUAACGGCCUACCAAGGCAACGACGGGUAGGGGGCGUGAGAGCGUGGCCCCCCACAUCGGGACUGAGACACUGCCCGGACACCUACGGGUGGCUGCAGCAACGAAUCUUCCGCAAUGGGCGAAAGCCUGACGGAGCGACGCCGCGUGCAGGAGGAAGUCCUUCGGGAUGUAAACUGCUGUCAGGGGCUGGAAACACUGAUCGGCCCCAGAGGAAGCCCCGGCUAACUACGUGCCAGCAGCCGCGGUAAUACGUAGGGGGCGAGCGUUGAUCGGAAUCACUGGGCUUAAAGGGCGUGCAGGCGGAAUGGAAGGUCUUCCGUGAAAGCCCCCGGCUCAACCGGGGAACUGCGGGGGAAACCAUCAUUCUUGAGGCAGGUAGAGGCGACUGGAACGUGUGGUGGAGCGGUGAAAUGCGUAGAUAUCACACGGAACGCCGGUGGCGAAAGCGGGUCGCUGGGCCUGUCCUGACGCUGAGACGCGAAAGCGUGGGGAGCAAACAGGAUUAGAUACCCUGGUAGUCCACGCCGUAAACGAUGCGCACUAGAUACGAGAGACUCUGACGUCGAUCGUGUCGAAGGAAAACUAUUAAGUGCGCCGCCUGGGGAGUACGGCCGCAAGGCUAAAACUCAAAGGAAUUGACGGGGGCUCACACAAGCGGUGGAGCAUGUGGAUUAAUUCGAAGCAA